rnacentral:rRNA from 1 species
UACAGGGGGUGCAAACGUUGCUCGGAAUCAUUGGGCGUAAAGCGCACGUAGGCGGUUCGUUAUGUCGGAUGUGAAAGCCCUUGGCUUAACCGAGGAAGUGCAUCCGAAACUGGCGAGCUAGAGUACUAAAGAGGAUCGCGGAAUUCCCGGUGUAGAGGUGAAAUUCGUAGAUAUCGGGAGGAACACCGGUGGCGAAGGCGGCGAUCUGGAUAGAUACUGACGCUGAGGUGCGAAAGCGUGGGGAGCAAACAGG